GCCUCGUUAGCGCAGUAGGCAGCGCGUCAGUCUCAUAAUCUGAAGGUCGUGAGUUCGAUCCUCACAUGCACGGGGCA
rnacentral:tRNA from 1 species